CUAUUCAAGCGUGAAAAAUUUAUGUCACAGCUUCAGGAGGAGGAGAAGAUUAAGGAACGGAGGAAUGGCAGUAGCAUUUCUGAGGCCGAUGAGAAGACCUACCCUGUGACUUGCACCGUAAUCUUUUCCCAAGAACUGUGAAAUAAAUGAGUGGCU